rnacentral:rRNA from 1 species
AACGAACGCUGGCGGCGUGGAUAAGACAUGCAAGUCGAACGGGAUUACUUCUGUAGCAAUACAGGAGUAAUUUAGUGGCGAACGGGUGCGUAACACGUGGGGAAUCUGCCGAGAAGUGGGGGAUAGCUCGCCGAAAGGACGAAUUAAUACCGCAUAUGAUCAGCUAGGACAUCUUAGCGACAUCAAAGCCGGGGCAACCUGGCGCUUCUUGAUGACCCCGCGGCCAUCAGCUAGUUGGUGAGGUAACGGCUCACCAAGGCUAUGACGGGGUAGCUGGUCUGAGAGGACGACCAGUCACACUGGAACUGAGACACGGUCCAGACACCUACGGGUGGCAGCAGUCGAGUAAUUUUUCUCAA